UUGAACGCUGGCGGCAGGCCUAACACAUGCAAGUCGAGCGGUAGCACAGAGAGCUUGCUCUCGGGUGACGAGCGGCGGACGGGUGAGUAAUGUCUGGGAAACUGCCUGAUGGAGGGGGAUAACUACUGGAAACGGUAGCUAAUACCGCAUAACGUCGCAAGACCAAAGUGGGGGACCUUCGGGCCUCAUGCCAUCAGAUGUGCCCAGAUGGGAUUAGCUAGUAGGUGGGGUAACGGCUCACCUAGGCGACGAUCCCUAGCUGGUCUGAGAGGAUGACCAGCCACACUGGAACUGAGACACGGUCCAGACUCCUACGGGAGGCAGCAGUGGGGAAUAUUGCACAAUGGGCGCAAGCCUGAUGCAGCCAUGCCGCGUGUGUGAAGAAGGCCUUCGGGUUGUAAAGCACUUUCAGCGGGGAGGAAGGCGAUAAGGUUAAUAACCUUGUCGAUUGACGUUACCCGCAGAAGAAGCACCGGCUAACUCCGUGCCAGCAGCCGCGGUAAUACGGAGGGUGCAAGCGUUAAUCGGAAUUACUGGGCGUAAAGCGCACGCAGGCGGUCUGUCAAGUCGGAUGUGAAAUCCCCGGGCUUAACCUGGGAACUGCAUUCGAGACUGGCAGGCUAGAGUCUUGUAGAGGGGGGUAGAAUUCCAGGUGUAGCGGUGAAAUGCGUAGAGAUCUGGAGGAAUACCGGUGGCGAAGGCGGCCCCCUGGACAAAGACUGACGCUCAGGUGCGAAAGCGUGGGGAGCAAACAGGAUUAGAUACCCUGGUAGUCCACGCCGUAAACGAUGUCGAUUUGGAGGUUGUGCCCUUGAGGCGUGGCUUCCGGAGCUAACGCGUUAAAUCGACCGCCUGGGGAGUACGGCCGCAAGGUUAAAACUCAAAUGAAUUGACGGGGGCCCGCACAAGCGGUGGAGCAUGUGGUUUAAUUCGAUGCAACGCGAAGAACCUUACCUGGUCUUGACAUCCACAGAACUUUCCAGAGAUGGAUUGGUGCCUUCGGGAACUGUGAGACAGGUGCUGCAUGGCUGUCGUCAGCUCGUGUUGUGAAAUGUUGGGUUAAGUCCCGCAACGAGCGCAACCCUUAUCCUUUGUUGCCAGCGGUUCGGCCGGGAACUCAAAGGAGACUGCCAGUGAUAAACUGGAGGAAGGUGGGGAUAACGUCAAGUCAUCAUGGCCCUUACGACCAGGGCUACACACGUGCUACAAUGGCAUAUACAAAGAGAAGCGACCUCGCGAGAGCAAGCGGACCUCAUAAAGUAUGUCGUAGUCCGGAUUGGAGUCUGCAACUCGACUCCAUGAAGUCGGAAUCGCUAGUAAUCGUAGAUCAGAAUGCUACGGUGAAUACGUUCCCGGGCCUUGUACACACCGCCCGUCACACCAUGGGAGUGGGUUGCAAAAGAAGUAGGUAGCUUAACCUUCGGGAGGGCGCUUACCACUUUGUGAUUCAUGACUGGGGUG
rnacentral:rRNA from 1 species